UACGGAGGGUGCGAGCGUUGUCCGGAAUCAUUGGGCGUAAAGGGCGCGCAGGCGGCCUUUUAAGUCUGGCGGUGAAAUGCCGGGGCUCAACCCCGAGCGUGCCGCGGAUACUGGGAGGCUGGAGACGAGUAGAGGCAAGCGGAAUUCCAGGUGUAGCGGUGAAAUGCGUAGAUAUCUGGAGGAACACCGGUGGCGAAGGCGGCAUCCUGGACCGGUAUUGACGCUGAGGCGCGAAAGCCAGGGGAGCAAACGGG
rnacentral:rRNA from 1 species